UUCUUAAUAGUCAUACCACAAUUACUCUAGUUCAGGUUCUGAUCACCUCUUGCCUGGACUAUUGCUGUAGCGUCCUAUUUGGUCUC
rnacentral:pre_miRNA from 1 species